CAGGUCCCAGUCACAGCCAGAGUCGAAAGACUGGUGUCUCUCAUAUCAGGGCUCCUGAAACCAGUGCGGAAAUGACCAGUGACUUUCCUUCCGUUACUGCAGAGUCCUUCCUUCAAGAGCUUAAAAGCUCACUGUUUGAGGAAAUACAUGAGGAUGAAACGGUACUUCAAGCCUCAACAGACUGGUCGACCCGAAAGAGCCUCAUAUCAGGGUGGUGGGAGAAAGAGAGACCCCGACUGGUCAACACCAUGGUGGCUGGACAACAUGCGGCAACUCGGAUCUGCCAACAUUGUGGAAAUGGUCCAGCCGUAAUCCGUUGUUGUGACUGCCGACCACACCCAUUCCUCUGUGGCCAGUGUGAUGUCAGGGUCCACCGAGGUCAAGUGUUCCACAACAGGGAUUCGAUGACACAUGCAUUCUUUCAUCCAUUGCCUCCCACAACUUGUGUUGUGGAGAGGGUUCUAACCCAGUGUGAGCGUCUUGUACCUUUGGAGAUGCCAGAGACAAUAUGCGGUUGUCUACGAGUAUCGUCCAGUGUCAUCGCAGGACAGUCCAUAGUUGUGGUUACAAUGAAUGGGCGAUAUGAUCUCAGAUUGCCUCAGAUUAGAUGCAAAAGCAUGUGAAGCCACUUGGAGUCCUGGAGUGGAUGACCUGAUCCGUAAUGACUACUGGCCUGCCACUUCUCACUAUUCAACUGUGUAUGCAACAGAUGUCCUUUUUUUCUUUUUGAAGAGCUGAAGAUGGCAGCACCAGGGAUGUCUAGCCAAGCAUUUCUUAGAAUGCUGGAUCAACGCACUGUUCGAUUUGGCCGUGUAAGUAUUUGUGGUAAUAAUUGCGUAACUCCAUAAAUAAUACUAUGAGGGCAUGAUGAUGAUGAUAGUACACAUGAACAUUUGCACUGUUUAGGAAAAAAGUUGUGUUCAAUUUAGACCCUUUAUAAACAACCAUAAACUCAUGUUCUCUCAUCAGCAGUUUGCACUGAGACAUUUCCAAAAAAAAAAAAACAGGUAAUUCUGAAGAUCUCAACUUCUACUCCAUUGGCUACAGACUUUGACAUCUUCUCCCCAAUAUCAUUUCCUGAUCCCAGAAGUGUUCCCUUGGAUUAAUGGCCCAAACACUGCACAGGCUUACUUCUAAACAAUAUUGUAGCUGUUGUAGCCCUCUUUGUGUAAAGAUUUAAACUGAAUGUCAAACAAUAUCCUGUAUUUUUAAUGGCCAGGUCCCCCAAAUACACCAGUGUAUAGUGUAUGAGUGAAGUCUACACAUUGUUUAUUUCCUUUGAUAUGUAUUCUAAGGAGUGGUUACGAAGUUAGUACAAACAUCCCAUAUGUAUCCAUUUAGAACAUUUUUACUUCAGUGUAGUAUAUUGUUUAAUUUGAUCCGUUUUUUACUGUUCUCUUUUGUUCUCUUUUUACUGAACUCUUCUUUGAAACAGAGUGGAAACAUCACAGCAGACAGCUUCCGGAAAAAGCUUCUUGGAGUGGGAAGCUGUCCGAUUCGAAGUGGACAAAUUAUGCCAGGAGGACCACUUUGACUGCCCAGCGUGCAGCCCAGACAUGCUUGCAGUAUCCGUUGAUGGAAACCGUAAGCACUACAGAUUCAAGAGUGCAGCAAGGUACUGUGUGUGCAUUGACGGUCCAUUACUUUGAAAGUAACUGCUGUGAAUUGAAAAUCAUAUGAAUAUUUAAAGUUAAUAUGUAUCUCUUUUAUUUAGAUCGGAGGAAAAAGCCAUCUUUGAUGGCGUGUUCAUCGCAAAUGAUGAUGAUGUCGCAAGAUUCGUGGACUAUGUCCAUACCUCAACCAGUCAUGUAAACUUGCACAACUUCUCUAUAUUUACCUAUAAAAACACCACGUCCUACAGAGGACUUAGUUUGAACAAGUUUGGAAUGUUAAACAUCUUCCAUGUUUUAGGUCUCUGGAAGAGGUGUCUGUGGAGGGCAAUGGUCAGCGGCGCGUGAAACUUCUCAGAAGUCCUCAGGAAAAACAGACGAGGAGGGCCUGGAACUCGCUGUAUGUCGUCAUGGGGUUCUCCUUCGUGCCCUCAAUAUGUUCAGGGGGAGAUUUUUUUGCCUACCCCCUGUACCUCCAAAAAGCAAAUGGCCUGUAAGCCAGUUAAAAUUUUUUUGCAAUGGAUGUGGCAUGCAAGUACUGGCCUUACCUCCAGAGAGUGACAGAGAAAUGCCCUGAGCUUGAGGAUCUCCUCACCAUGAGGCCAUUUCUUUCUGUUUUUCAUGCCAAAGCUCAUGAUUUCAAAUGUGAGGUAAGAAAAAAUGAUUGUCCAUGAUAUUUUCUUUCCCUAAAAUCCUGCAUAAGAUUGUUGCCACUUAGGUUUUGUUUUUUUGUUUUCUUUUUUUAAAGGUAAAAUGGAGUGGAGCAUAUCAGGAGGGGGCUGGUUCGACUCUUGGGGAAGAGGUGGAGCAGUGCAACGCCUUCCUCUCGAGGAUUGCUGUUACGACAAAGCACAUGUCAAAAAGCAGGUAAGGUAACCAGUAAAUUUUGAUCCUGAUGACAUGGGUGAGCCACUUAUGCAUACAUGCUGACUCUGAAAAAUAUAAAGAUCAGAAUAUAUUAAA
ensembl:lncRNA